rnacentral:rRNA from 1 species
CCUACGAGCGACAGCAGUGGGGAAUAUUGGGCAAUGGGCGCAAGCCUGACCCAGCAACGCCGCGUGAAGGAAGAAGGCUUUCGGGUUGUAAACUUCUGUUCAGGGGGAAGAGCAGAAGACGGUACCCCUUGAAUAAGCCACGGCUAACUACGUGCCAGCAGCCGCGGUAAUACGUAGGUGGCAAGCGUUGUCCGGAUUUACUGGGUGUAAAGGGCGUGCAGCCGGAGAGCAAAGUCAGUUGUGAAAUCCACGGGCUCAACCCGUGAACUGCAUUUGAAACUGUUUCCCUUGAGUGUAGGAGAGGUAAGCGGAAUUCCUGGUGUAGCAGUGAAAUGCGUAGAUAUAAGGAAGAACACCAGUGGCGAAGGCGGAUUACUGGACGAUAACUGACGGUGAGGCGCGAAAGCGUGGGGAGCAAACAGGAUUAGAUACCCUAGUAGUC